GUUAAACAUCUGCUUUUGAAAACUUGUGUUUUGUAGUUAUAAACAAUAUAAUUAUGUACUCGAGUAAGUAUUGUUUACAAAAAAGUUAUAUUUAGCCACGGACGAUACUUUUUAAGGUGGAGGUUUGAUGGUAGUACGGUCAUAGCGAAUAUAAACAUUUUUGCUGGUGGAAGCAAUUCAGAUACAAAUAUUUUUCUAACUUCAAUUGUACCAUUAAAAAAUUUUUGUGCAAAUUAAUUUUCCGGUCUAGAUAUUGUGUUUUGGAAAAAUAGGAUACCAAUAGGAUCUCCUCGAUUUUGUAGUUCUAUCAGACUACAAUCUCUACGCAAAAAUGCCCAGUCAAGCAUUAAUGAAAAAUGUUGAAGAUGAAAUUAAAUCAUUAGUUUCUUAUAAAAUUCCUCAACAUAAAUUAGAAAUAAACAUUGGUCUUGGCAAUGAAUUAUGGAAAAGUUUGCAAUGAAAUAAUAUUUACCAAAUCAAAAAAGAACCUUGGACUACACCGGAAGUUAAAGAAGCAGUUUUUCGAAAACGUAAUCUCUGGAGGCAAUAUGUCGCUUCUGGAACUAAAACGCACGAGGCACUCAGGAGUAAGCAUAAAAUAGCCUGUAAACAUGUUUCAAAGGUAAUAAAAGAAGCUAUUCAUUAUUUAGCUAGUGUUUUCAAUAAUGAAUUAAAGAAACUUUAUGAUUACAUUAAACAAAAAGAAGAAACAAAUAACUCACUUCAAGCUCACGAAGAUGACAAUAAAAGCAUUGUAACCGAUGGUGCAGUAGUCUCAGAUAUUCUAAACGAUUACUUUCAUUCUGUAUUCACUACUGAAAAACCAGAUUCACUGCCAGUUUUGAAUCACGUACAAAUGUAUCUUGCACAUUAGACCAAAAUCUCCUAUUGGCGGCUUCAGUCCAAGAAAGACUAAAAGAACUCAUUGAAACCAAGUCGAAAGGAUAUGACAACAUAAACCCACGAGUGUUACGCAACUGUGCUUCAGCAUUCGCAAUUCCAUUAGCUAUGAUCUACCAAAAAUCAAUUUACAAUUCACAGAUUGCAGAGCUUUAAAAUCAAAUGCCACCCCAAUUUUUAAACAAAGCAACAAGCAGAACCAAGCCAAUUAUAGACUAGUAUCAUUAACAUUGGUACCCUGCAAAAUUAUAGAAGGUAUUAUACACAAAAAAAUCAUAAACCACUGUUUUAGCAAUAACCUAAUAUCCAAAGAACAGCAUGGAUUUCUUCAUAGUAAAGGAUGCACAUCGAACUUACUUGAGACUAGGGAUUUACUAUCAGAAACAAUGCAUAAAGGCUACGCCACUGAUAUCAUCUUCACUGACUUUUCGAAAGCCUUCGAGUUCCACACGUCAGACUUUACACAAACUUAAAGCAUAUGGUAUAAACGGUUUGGUCUUAGACUGGAUAGAAAACUUGCUAACGAACCUUUAUCAAUGAGUUGUAAUCGGCAUGCACUAAUCUAAAUGGAAGUAUGUAACAAGCGGGGUACCCCAGAGCUCUGUGCUUGGUCUACUUCUUUUUGUAUUAUAUAUAAACAAUCUUCCGGACUAUACUACUCGUCACAUAAAGAUUUAUGCCGACGAUUGCAAAAUAAUCGCAGUUCUAAAAUCUGAUGAGGACAAAACUACCUUGAAAAUUGACAUAGAUAACUUAGUAGAUUGGUUGCAUAAAUGGAAUAUGCCUCUCAACUUCGAUAAAUGUAAAGUUAUUCACGUCGGGCGUGGUAACUCCAAAUCUGUUCAAAAUUAUUCGAUACUUGACUUAAGAAAUCGUGGACUCUUUUUGUGGAAAAUACUCUACAAAACCUAUAUUAGACCCCAGUUAGAAUUUGCUAUCCAGGCUUGGUCACCACACAAGGGAAAAGACAUUGCUGCUCUAGAGCAAGUGCAGUAUAAAGCCACAAAAGCAAUAACGGAAAUGAAGCACUUGCAAUAUAAAGAUAGACUCCGUAAUCUCGACUUAACUACACUUAAAAACAGGAGAGUUCGAGGUGAUCUCAUUCAACAGUUUAAAUUUUUAAAAGGUAUUGACCAAAUCAUUUUUAAGAGCCAUCAAGUCUACGCACCAUCGAUUUCCAAAUACGAUUUGCGUGGGCAUUAACUUAGACUUGAACCUUAAAAUGUAAAAAACUGUGAUGAAAGGUUCAAUUUCUUCACUAAUCGCAUUGUCAAUGAAUGGAAUGCGCUACCUACAGACGCCAUAAGUACUGAAUCAGUUAACUCGUUUAAAGUUAGUGUUGACAAAUUGAAA
rnacentral:lncRNA from 1 species